GAUGAACGCUGGCGGCGUGCCUAAUACAUGCAAGUCGAGCGAAUGGAUUAAGAGCUUGCUCUUAUGAAGUUAGCGGCGGACGGGUGAGUAACACGUGGGUAACCUGCCCAUAAGACUGGGAUAACUCCGGGAAACCGGGGCUAAUACCGGAUAACAUUUUGAACCGCAUGGUUCGAAAUUGAAAGGCGGCUUCGGCUGUCACUUAUGGAUGGACCCGCGUCGCAUUAGCUAGUUGGUGAGGUAACGGCUCACCAAGGCAACGAUGCGUAGCCGACCGGAGAGGGGGAGCGGCCACACUGGGACGGGGACACGGCCCAGGCUACGACGGGAGGCAGCAGUAGGGAAUCUUCCGCAAUGGACGAAAGUCUGACGGAGCAACGCCGCGUGAGUGAUGAAGGCUUUCGGGUCGUAGAACUCUGUUGUUAGGGAAGAACAAGUGCUAGUUGAAUAAGCUGGCACCUUGACGGUACCUAACCAGAAAGCCACGGCUAACUACGUGCCAGCCGCCGCCGUAA
rnacentral:rRNA from 1 species